UCCUAGUUAACCUAGGCAGUCUCAUUAGAGUCCCCACCUUACGUGUUGGCAACUAAUGAUAAGGGUUGCGCUCGUUGCGGGACUUAACCCAACACCUCACGGCACGAGCUGACGACAGCCAUGCAGCACCUAUACAUAAGUCCUUGCGGAAAAUACCAUUUCUGGUAUCGCCCUAUGCAUUUCGAGCCCAGGUAAGGUUCUUCGCGUUGCAUCGAAUUAAACCACAUGCUCCACUGCUUGUGCGGGCCCCCGUCAAUUCUUUUGAGUUUCACCCUUGCGAGCGUACUCCUCAGGCGGUUUACUUAUCGCGUUAGCUACGACACAGUCAGGGUUGAGCCUAACUACAUCAAGUAAACAUCGUUUACGGCAAGGACUAC
rnacentral:misc_RNA from 1 species